AGGAAUCUGCCUAUUAGUGGGGGACAACAUCUCGAAAGGGAUGCUAAUACCGCAUACGUCCUACGGGAGAAAGCAGGGGACCUUCGGGCCUUGCGCUAAUAGAUGAGCCUAAGUCGGAUUAGCUAGUUGGUGGGGUAAAGGCCUACCAAGGCGACGAUCUGUGGCGGGUCUGAGAGGAUGAUCCGCCACACUGGGACUGAGACACGGCCCAGACUCCUACGGGAGGCAGCAGUGGGGAAUAUUGGACAAUGGGGGGAACCCUGAUCCAGCCAUGCCGCGUGUGUGAAGAAGGCCUUUUGGUUGUAAAGCACUUUAAGCGAGGAGGAGGCUACCGAGAUUAAUACUCUUGGAUAGUGGACGUUACUCGCAGAAUAAGCACCGGCUAACUCUGUGCCAGCAGCCGCGGUAAUACAGAGGGUGCAAGCGUUAAUCGGAUUUACUGGGCGUAAAGCGCGCGUAGGUGGCCAAUUAAGUCAAAUGUGAAAUCCCCGAGCUUAACUUGGGAAUUGCAUUCGAUACUGGUUGGCUAGAGUAUGGGAGAGGAUGGUAGAAUUCCAGGU
rnacentral:rRNA from 1 species